rnacentral:lncRNA from 1 species
GCUGGUAUUACAUUUCAUAAUUAAUAAAAAAAAGCACAUACUGUUGCGAGUAAGCAUCGUUCACGGAAUAGUUGUCGAUGCCCAUGCUGAGGAAAAGUGGGGAUCAGAGUUAGGGAUUUGGGGAGGGAAUAGGCGCCACGAACGAGUUAAUCAACUAGCCCUGGGCCCUAUACUGACGUGGCAGGUGUGGCGUACACCAUAUGUAUGCGUUGUAGUAGCACAGGUCUGGUUUGCCAAGAUUAAGGACUGUACUCGGUCCGUAUUUGCAAGUUUCAGGAUUGUAUUCAAUCAGUUUGUGAGUUUGGGGACCAUUGUACACAUGGCCAACAAUUUGAAGGACCAAAGAUGCAUUUUACUC